GAGGAAUAUGCAUCGGCUAACUCCGUGCCAGCAGCCGCGGUAAUACGGGGGAUGCAAGCGUUAUCCGGAAUCAUUGGGCGUAAAGCGCCUGUAGGUUGUUUAAUAAGUCUGUUGUUAAAGACUAGGGCUUAACCCUAGAAAAGCAAUGGAAACUACUAGACUAGAGUAUGGCAGGGGUAGAGGGAAUUUCUAGUGUAACGGUGAAAUGCGUAGAUAUUAGAAAGAACACCGGUGGCGAAAGCGCUCUACUGGACCAUUACUGACACUCAGAGGCGAAAGCUAGGGUAGCAAAAGGGAUUAGAUACCCCUGUAGUCCUAGCCGUAAACGAUGGAUACUACAUGUUGUGUUUAUUUCACAGUAUGGUAGCUAACGCGUUAAGUAUCCCGCCUGGGGAGUACGCUCGCAAGGGUGAAACUCAAAGGAAUUGACGGGGGCCCGCACAAGCGGUGGAGCAUGUGGUUUAAUUCGAUGCAACGCGAAGAACCUUACCAGGGCUUGACAUACUGCGAAUCUUUCCGAAAGGAAAGAGUGCCUUCGGGAAUGCAGAUACAGGUGGUGCAUGGCUGUCGUCAGCUCGUGUCGUGAGAUGUUGGGUUAAGUCCCGCAACGAGCGCAACCCUUGUUUUUAGUUACCAAUUCGUUGGGUUUUCUAGAAAGACUGCCGGUGACAAACCGGAGGAAGGUGAGGAUGACGUCAAGUCAGCAUGCCCCUUAUGUCCUGGGCUACACACGUGCUACAAUGGUUAGGACAAAGAGUUGCGAGCUUGUGAAAGUCAGCUAAUCUCGUAAACCUAGCCCAAGUUCAGAUUGUAGGCUGCAACUCGCCUACAUGAAG
rnacentral:rRNA from 1 species